AACGAACGCUGGCGGCGUGGAUAAGACAUGCAAGUCGAACGGGACUAAAUCUGUAGCAAUACAGGUUUAGUUCAGUGGCGAACGGGUGCGUAACACGUGGGGAAUCUGCCGAGAAGUGGGGGAUAGCUCGCCGAAAGGCGAAUUAAUACCGCAUAUGAUCAGCUAAGACAUCUUAGCGACAUCAAAGCCGGGGCAACCUGGCGCUUCUUGAUGACCCCGCGGCCUAUCAGCUAGUUGGUGAGGUAACGGCUCACCAAGGCUAUGACGGGUAGCUGGUCU
rnacentral:rRNA from 1 species